UGGGGAAUAUUGGGCAAUUGGCGAAAGCCUGACCCAGCAACGCCGCGUGAAGUAUGAAGGCCUUCGGGUUGUAAACUUCUUUGAUCAGGGAAGAAACAAAUGACGGUACCUGAAAAACAAGCCACGGCUAACUACUUGCCAGCAGCCGCGGUAAUACGUAGGUGGCGAGCGUUAUCCGGAAUCAUUGGGCGUAAAGGGUACGUAGGCGGAUAAGCAAGUUAGAAGUGAAAUCCUAUAGCUCAACUAUAGUAAGCUUUUAAAACUGCUCAUCUUGAGGUAUGGAAGGGAAAGUGGAAUUCCUAGUGUAGCGGUGAAAUGCGCAGAUAUUAGGAGGAAUACCGGUGGCGAAGGCGACUUACUGGCCAUAUACUGACGCUGAGGUACGAAAGCGUGGGUAGCAAACAGG
rnacentral:rRNA from 1 species